GACGAACGCUGGCGGCGUGCUUAACACAUGCAAGUCGAACGGAAAGGCCCUGCUUUUGUGGGGUGCUCUAGUGGCGAACGGGUGAGUAACACGUGAGUACCCUGCCCUUGCCUUUGGGAUAACUUCAGGAAACUGGGGCUAAUACCGGAUAGGAUCUCCUGCUUCUUGGUGGGGGUUGGAAAGUUUCGGCGGUUGGGGGUGGACUCGCGGCUUAUCAGAUUGUUGGUGGGGUAGUGGCUUAGCAUGACUUUGCCGGGUAGCCGGCCUGGGAGGGUGAGCGGACAAGUUGGGACGGAGAUACGGCCCAGACUACUACGGGAGGGAGCAGAGGGGAAGAGUGCACAAGGGGAGGAAGCAUGAUGCAGCAACGCAGCGUGCGGGAUGACGGCCUUGGGGUUGUAAACCGCUUCCGCCUGUGACGAAGCGAGAGUGACGGUAAUGGGUAAAGAAGCACCGGCUAACUACGUG
rnacentral:rRNA from 1 species